CCCAAUCCCCUCGCUCGCACGCCGCAUCCCUCCCUCUCUCCUCAGCCGCCACAACACGAAUCCACGAACCCUCUCCCUCUCCCUUGCGUGUGCCGGUGUGCGUGCUCAUCGCCUCCCACUCCCCAUCGUCCCCCCAUGCCUCCACCGGCUACCAUGGAUCCAUGGCCGAUGGGACAGUACAAGGCAGGGAAGGACGCCGCCGUUGACCUGUCGCUUAGGUUGGUGGCGCAUGGGUCGGGUCUGGGCAGAAGGCUGGCGCCUGCGGGAGAAAGCACCGGGGGUUGGUGCAGCGACAAAUGAGGACGGGGUGGGCCGUGGAGGGAGGCUCGCCGGAUGGAGAAGCCGGAGCAAGGAGGCAUGUUCGGCCAUGGAGGUAUGCCCUUUGGCCGGAGCAGCAGGAGUAACUGCAGCCGCUGGUCGGCCCCAUGCACCGCCUCAGCCCGCAUCGUCUGCUGCAGCCCGCACGGUCGAGAGGGGCAGUUGCGCCGUAGUUGGCGGCGAGUUCAGCGGCCGCCUCCUCCUCUCCUCUUCGAAUCCAAUGCCUAUGGGUUCUCCUAAGUUGGAUUGUUCAUCCUUCUUUGCUGGUGGUGUGCUCGUCCGUUGCAAUAGCCUUCGUGCGCUGGAUCAACACUGCCGGUUGACAUUGGUUGGUUUCUUCCUGUUCUGUCCUGCUUCCACCGUCGUAUCAUUCUGCCGUUGCCAUUGAGCAGGUUCGACGAUCUGCUAGGCUGCUGCAUCUGCAACUCUGUGCUGCUGUUCAAGGUUUGCUUGAUUCUUUCUGCCCUACAUGCUUGUUCUUUCUUGCUGCACAUAUGCUUCUCUUUCUCUAAGUACUGAAUUCUGAUGUGCUGUCUCUAGCUACAUGAAUUUACCUUUCUUCGUCGGUCUAAUUGUCUAUUGAUGGGCCAUUCAUGUUAUGGUUAUGUGAACUUUAGGAUGUAAUAAUAUAUGGUGUUUAAAUUUUUAUUUUUGUUAGCGCCUAUGAAUUUGCACUAAAGAGUCGUUCGAUAUCCAAGUUUCUAUAUAUAUUUUACAACAUUGCAGUCGUGUAUGCUCUGUAAAGAGCAUGUUUAAUUCGUUUGUUCCUUUUUUAGAUGUUCCGUAUCGGUGCAUAUUUUAAAUUGAUCCAUACUGUGCCAGUGAUUUUCUAAGAUUUUCCCAUAUCUUUUGGGGAAAUAAUUAUGCUUCAGGAAGAUGCUAAAUAAGCUGGUCAGCUCUGGGGCAAAAGGUCAGCUAAUCUGCUUGGCUGUUCCUCCCAAGGUGAUGAGAGAUUGCUUGUCAGCUAAUCUUCCACUGUGAGCAUGUUCUGCUUGUGAGCAGGCCAGUACUUUACACAUUUUACUACAGCAGCAAGGACGCUAUGCUUUGAAUAGUUGAGCCGCCCUCUGUUUGUUCGUCCAUGGGCAGAGUGGGUGGAGGUGCAGCGCCUCAGGAUGUAAGGCAGGGAUGGAAUGCUUUCUGUUCAUGAGCUGUUCUGCUAACACGUACUGUUGAGAAAAGAAAAGAAAGGAGCUUUUAAGUUCUUAAGAGGAGCAAGAGAGCUUCUAAGUUCUACACAUUAGAUCUAGCUUUCUUAUGUUGUUUGUCUAAUUGUUUUCUACUCCCUGUAUUUUCAGCUGUGUAAUAGUAAACACACCACUGUCUGUACUGUU